AGACAAACACGCUCGGUAUCGCUCGUUGCACGCGAAACGCAUCGGCCGCUGCAAAUUGCCGAGACAAGCGGCGCGCAGUGGUUCUAGAGCGUAUAAUUAGCAGGGGAAAAGUCGAAAAUUGCAGGUAGAAGAAUAUAAGCAUCGAGAGAGAAGGAGAGAGAUGAGUUUUGCUUUUGAUUACUCGUACCGCGUACGAUUAAAAUGGAUGAGACUUAAGGGAUAUAAAAAUGCAAAUAAAGUUCCAGGUAAAUGAGAAGCAGAAUAAACAGGAGCAGACGAAAAUAAUUAGGAACAUAAUAAGAAGAAUAUUUAUAUGCAUAUGUAAUCAUUGGGUUUACUGUAAAAUUAAAAUUAAAUGUACACACACCAAGAGGGAAGUAAUCCUGCAGUGAAAAUGUGGAGUUGGUUCUAUUAAUUAGUGUGUUACAAUUAUUUAUGCAAAUUCUGUUUUUCAUAGACGAUUUCACGAGAAACUGGAAAUUUCGCGAUGUAUGAAAUAUGUAAUAUUAUAAUUCAAGUGUUCGUUAAGUUGUAA